CUUCCGGUUAAGGCGGCGCCUGGCUUCCUAGAACGGCCGGGAAAGACUUGAAAGGCUCGAAGACGUGAGUGGCCGGAACAGUCAGAAGGCGGCCUCUGCUCGGCUGAUGUUCAACUGUCUGAGAAGCUGUAACCUGCCCUUGAAGAGGAGGCCUUGCAAUGACCUGCUCCUCAUGCUGCUGCUGAAGUGGCUCAACCACUGACUUCCUCUCCGGUUCUGACUGCUGUGGACUAUUGAAAUUCAGAGCUGCCGUUGGCUGCUGUAAAAACACCUGGAAGUCAAAAAUAACAAAAAGUUCCUGCUAAGUAUAUUAGAGCAAGAAAUUGAACUUCUUUUCCAAGUUGUUAUUUCUUGAGUAAUAUUUAUAAUUUGGGGAGUCGGAAGGCUAAACCUGA